AGCUUGCUUGUUGGGGUUGUAGGACUGAACAUUAGAGUUACCAAAGUGCGACGUAGUCGCAACAGUUGGGAAGCUGUGCCAUAGAGGGUGAAAGCCCCGUAGACGAAACGUCACACUCUCUGUUCAGGAUCCUGAGUACGGCGGGACACGUGAAACCCCGUCGGAACCCGCGAGGACCAUCUCGCAAGGCUAAAUACUCCCUAGUGACCGAUAGUGAACCAGUACCGUGAGGGAAAGGUG
rnacentral:rRNA from 1 species